GUUAUAUGGAAAUGAUUGUAUGCUGUCCCUUUAAGUGCAGGUUCAAGUUGUCUCAGAAGUCACGAAUAACUUAAGCAAGUUACGGAGUACGGGAGACACGGCAGAGGAAAUGACUUAUUGAGCAUGUUCAUUAUGUGGGAACCUAAAAGCAGCUGUACAAAAACUGAAGAUGCCAGCAACAUAAAAAAGGCACUAAAAGACACAGGACCAUUAGCUUUAUCUAUCUAGCUAGCUACUUUCUUUUAGUAAAUAAAGCUGUGUCAUAUAUUUUAUACACCAUGGUGGUUGCAGAGAAGCACAAAAAUGCUGGGAAAUCAAAACUAUUAUUUCCAUAGGGUUAAUUUAUCCCUAUCCUUUAAAAUCUGUCCUGUUAGUGGAGCUAAAUAGUGCUGCUCACCUGCAAAUCCAACCAACCAGAAGACAAAUCCAUUCAGUGCCAUGACAUAAUGCAACACAUGAGUACUGAUAUAUUCUGUCCCUCAUGUGCAAACACUUAGACCAUGUUAUUUCAUCUAAUACAGGAAUAUGUAAAACAUGUUCUAUUAGGUCCAUUAACUCUUCGGCUGCCAGUGUAUUCCAGGCCUAUCUGACAGCCAGAUGCUCUGCUCACAGAUUAUGAUGUUCCAACUUCUCUUCUAUCCUUCAAGUGCUUUCAAAUGUUGAUCUUCUGCCAUAUGUGGGGGAGGGGGUGUUUAACAUGGUGGGGUAAAGGGUGUGGCUCAGUCUAUUCACAUAGUAUGUAUUAUAUUUAUAGAUAUUAUUUAUAUAAAUAUUUCCUCUAUAUACAGUGGGGAGGUAUCUCGGCAGGGACAUCAUGAAGUUGUUGCCACUAACGAGUGGUCAAGCUCCGUGCUGUCACAGUCAGAGUCAUCGUACAAAUUGACAUUCUGUAAGACAUAGAUAAAGAGAAGAUAUGAUAAUCUUUUAGCUGUCAAUAUAAUUCUAGAAAUCUUCACCAUAUUAACCAAAAACAUAUUUAGGUGAUUAUUAUACUUUUUUUCUCUAACUCUAUUCACUUAUUUCACAUUGAUUACUCACUUUCAUUUGCAAAGUCUAAUUUAUAAAUAUCACCUCCUAUAACCUCCGAUCCAAUACCAGCACAUUAUUUAGUUUGCCUCAAUACAAAAAGAAAGCAGCUCGAUCCUCCUUUUCCUACAGAGCACCACAAUUAUGGAACGACCUCCCGCACACUUUCAAACCUUCCCCAAGCCUAAAAUCCUUUAAGAGAUCCCUCUCUACAUAUCUCAAAACAGACUGCACCUGUCAUGGUUGAUUAAUUACCUGUUCUAUGUUAAAUUUUGUAUAUAUUGUGUAUUAUUAUUGUUUUUGUAUUUUAUUGUACCCUAUUGUAUCAAUGCAAUGUUUUGUGGACCCAGGACAUACUUGAAAACGAGAGAAAUCUCAAUGUAUCCUUCCUGGUAAAAUAUUUUAUAAAUAAAAAUAAAUAAAUCUUUCUUACAAAAUAA